AAUGUGAUGAUGAACUGAGUGAAAUAUGGUUUUGGCAGUGGUGGCAUUGGUGGUGCUGCCGUGAGCCUGUCAACCAAAAAAACGACUUCUCUUUGCACUCAGCAUC